rnacentral:rRNA from 1 species
CGGGGGCCCGCACAAGCGGCGGAGCAUGCGGAUUAAUUCGAUGCAACGCGAAGAACCUUACCAAGGCUUGACAUACACUGGACCGUUCUGGAAACAGUUCUUCUCUUUGGAGCUGGUGUACAGGUGGUGCAUGGUUGUCGUCAGCUCGUGUCGUGAGAUGUUGGGUUAAGUCCCGCAACGAGCGCAACCCUCGUUCUAUGUUGCCAGCACGUGAUGGUGGGAACUCAUAGGAGACUGCCGGGGUCAACUCGGAGGAAGGUGGGGAUGACGUCAAAUCAUCAUGCCCUUUAUGUCUUGGGCUUCACGCAUGCUACAAUGGCUGGUACAGAGAGAGGCGAACCCGUGAGGGUAAGCGAAUCCCUUAAAGCCAGUCUCAGUUCGGAUCGUAGUCUGCAAUUCGACUACGUGAAGUCGGAGUCGCUAGUAAUCGCAGAUCAGCAACGCUGCGGUGAAUACGUUCCCGGGCCUUGUACACACCGCCCGUCAAGUCACGAAAGUCGGUAACACCCGAAGCCGGUGUCCCAACCCACUUGUGGGAGGGGGCCGUCUAAGGUGGGACU